AUAAUACUCCCUCCUUCUGGAAAUAUUUGUCAUUGAAAUAGAUAUAUCUAGAUGUAUUUUUGUUCUAGAUACAUUCAUUUUCAUCCAUUUUAAUGGUAAAUAAUUCCGGACGGAGGGAGUACUGU
rfam:Triticum aestivum genome assembly, contig: Triticum_aestivum_CS42_TGACv1_scaffold_030395_1BL